UUGACCUCAAAUCGGGUGAGACUACCCGCUGAACUUAAC
rnacentral:rRNA from 1 species